rnacentral:rRNA from 1 species
AUGUACAGAGAGCUAUGCCACGGUCAGAUCCCGGCGGCGGCCACGGGGCUUUGGAAGGCAAAGAUCCCGCUCAAAAUUAAGGUCUUCCUUUGGCAACUUUGUCAAGAUCGCCUUCCUACCUCUAUUAACCUCGCUAAACGCAACGGCCCCGCCACUGGCCCCUGUGCGCUGUGUGGGGUCCCGGAAGAUGCUGACCACACCUUCUUCCUCUGCUCCCUGGCUCGUUUCGCUUGGAGCGCGGUCCGGGAGGCUGCGGGAGUGGAUUGGGAUCCACGCUCCCGACCCGAGCUCGUAUCUUCCUUAUCUGGGUUUCAAGGCGAGGCUCGUAGGGUCAUGUGGACUUGUGCGGCGGCUAUGCUAUGGGCUAUUUGGAAUACCCGUAACAAGUUUACUAUUGAGGGGGUGUUCCCCUCGCAUCCCGCUGACGUUAUCUUCAAAUGCAUCGUUUUCUUGCAGCAAUGGGCAUCGCUGGGAAGACAACAGGACUCUGAUCUCCACCGCCAAGCUAUCUGUCGUCUACACGCCGUCUACUCCGAGGCUCGAGCUUCGUCGCCUGCUCAACUGGAUGCCGCAUAG